UCCGGCCAGCUCCGGCCACCGCCCAGCACCGCCGGACCUCCCCGGCGUCCCCCUUGCUCUCCGCCGGCCUCCCCUUGCCGCCCUAGCCGCCGGAUUAGCUCCGGCAAGCCUUGAACCGCAACCCACGAAAUGGGUUUCCAGCUGGUUCGGGCCCGCUUUUGGGCCGUUUCCGGGCCCCGAACCCGAGCCGAGCUUUGGAGUUUGUUGUUCCUCGCGUCGCCCCGUCGGAUUGAUCCGAUUUGCGUGCGAUUUGGUGAGUAAUCUCACUAAUCCCGG
rnacentral:lncRNA from 1 species